AACGGAGUCAUGGACAGUGUUCGUCCACUGGGAAACUGCCACGCGUCCUAUCCGAUACCAUGCGUCGCCGGCCCUUGUUGAUAUCGAAAUUGAAUCGGGCCUCCUUGAAACCAGGCGGGAUAUGUGGAUCAGAGAUGGUCCACUGCCUGCUCCGCUCUAGUCCGGCCCGCCGCCACCCUCCUCAGGUUCCGUCCGAAGCCGCUUCACUGCCGAAGACUCCCGGUCUCCGCCUUCUACCUAACUUCCUUCUCCUCCUUCUGCGGUAGUCCCAUGGACGGCCUCAGUCCUGCCACUAUCCUCGUCCUCUCUGGCAAGUCCCCUCAAGAGGACGCCCUCGCUCUAUCACUCAAAUGGAGGUCGGAUACAGUGAAGUUGAUCGACGAAGAGGAACCAGAGACUAGGGUUUUAGUUGGUUUCGAGGCCGAGGCCGCCACCUUUGAUCCUCGUACAUACAUGGGCGCCCUCAGCACAAGCCGGUUCGUGCGGCUCCUCAUAUUGUCCCCGAAGAUUCCCUCCACCCAUGACCUCGUUUCCAAGUGGGAGCAACCGAAACCCAUCUCGUUUUUCUCCUCAUUCCAGUUCUCGAUUCGUUUAUUGGGUUUUGAAUCCCCCGCAUUGGGUUUUUGUAUCGUGGAUAGGAACUUCGCUGAGCUUUCUCUGGGCACAGUCUGUGUUUCUGAUCUGCAGUACAAAGGAAGAGGUCUUCAUGAAAUUGCAAUUUUGGUUUUGGUUCUCGUUCACUGUUUCUUUGUUUUCUCUUGAGUCUUUGAAGUUUGUUAUUCAUAAAAGAAUCUCUCUCUCUCUCUCUCUCUCUGACUAUGAAGGUCGAGUGAAGAAUGUUUAGGAAUCGCCCAUUGGUUGCCUCCUUUUUUGGUUGCCUCCUUUUCUCCUUCACAUUGCAGAUGGAAGGAAGCUACCUCUUUUGCAGUAUGGUGUAUCUCUUGCUCUAUCUCUUGCAGUAUGGUGUAUCUCUUUUGGCUCUUCUUUCAAUUUUUUUUCUUCUCAAUUUAACUUUUGACCAAUUAUCUGUUGAUUUAUGGAUAUGAUCAAAUUUCAGGUUUGCCAAAUCUUGAUGUUAGAAUUAAGUGGCCGAAUGAUCUUUAUCUAAAUGGCCUGAAAGUUGGUGGAAUUCUUUGUACUUCAACUUAUAGAUCAAAGAAUUUCAAUGUUUGUGCGGGCAAUGGAUUGAACUUGGACAAUGAGAAUCCAACUACAUGUUUGAAUGCUGCACUGCAAGAGAUCAACCCAAGUUCACUUUGCCUAAGUAGAGAAGAAGUGUUUGCAUGAUUUUUCAAUAAAUUCGAGACUCUUUUUGAGAUUUUCUUGACUGAAGGUUUUCAGCCUCUUGAGGAGCUUUACUAUAUAAGACAUGGCCUCACAGCUCGUUGACGCCACCCCUUCACUCUCCGCCAUCAUCUUCCUCUAGUCAAGAUUGUGCAAAGUCUCAUGGUCGCUUGCGAACUGCCUCAUCUUCCCAGCAUCGAUGCAUGCGCCAAAUUUGACGUCGGAGCUGCCGCAAGGCAUGGAGGCCCGACAUCACCACCAACCGCAUCGACGAUUGACAAGUCCAUCAAGGACGCCUUCACUGGCAAGGCCUCCGACACGAAAUCCACUGACAAAAUUCCUGCGAAAAGAAAAUUUGAGAAACACAAGAAAAAAGUUCUCCAUUAUGAGAGCUUGCUUCAGAAAAAUCCUUUUUGUCCAAACUGUUCCAUCGCCUGGUUACUCUCAACAUUGCAUGUCGGGAUGGUGAGAAGAAUGUAUCUAUUCUUGAGCGCCUCAUUAGCAUAUGUCCCAAUCUCAAGGACCUCGGACUCAAUCAUGUCACCUCUCUAGAAAAACUUGUUGGCCUUUCUACACAGGGCUCCACAGCUGGUAGACCUUGGAAUUGGCAUUCUCAUAGGAGAAGAUCGUUCAUGAUUUCUCUCCAAGCUUGAAUAUGCUUUUGCUCACUUAAAACAUCUGAAGAAUCUAUCUUGGAAAGCUGGACCAUUUUACUUACCAACAAUAUAUUCAAUUUGUGAAGGUCUUGCAGCACUGUGUCUCCAUCAGUCUAGCAUACAAACACCAGAGCUCUCAAAAGUAGUUAGCCAGUGUAAAACUCUUCAACAGCUAUGGGUUAGGGACUUAAUUGAGGACGACAGAAAUGGGCCUCAUUGCUGUCUUUUCUGGUUGUGUAAUGCGUGAGUCUGUUCUCUAUUUUUGCCGGCAGAUGACUAAUUCUGCCCUCCUUACUAUUGCUAAUAAUCGCCCCAAUCUCACAUAUUUCCACUCUGCAUCAUGAAGCCUUACACCCCUGAUUGGCUGAUUAUAUUACUCAAGAACCUCUAGAUGCUGGAUUUGGGGCUAUUGUUGAAUCCUGCUAGGACCUCUCUCCAUAUCUGGUCUUCUUACUGAUUGCGUGUUCACAACAAUUGGGGCCUCAGCAAAUCGUCUUGAGAGGCUCUCAGUUGGUUGUGGUGGUGAUGGAGAUGCAGGUCUUCAUUACAUUCUAUCUGGUUGUAGGAAAUUAUGCGUGCUGGAAAUUAGGAAAUGUCCGUUUGGGAUCAAGGCAUUGUUGGACAAUCCAGAUAAACUGGAGACAAUGCAAUGCCUGAUGUCGUAUGGGGGAAUGCAGAUUAUUAGCUAAGAAGAUGCCACGGCUUCACAUGGAGGUUAUUGAUGAGAAUGGAUGAGGGUCGUUGCAGUCAGUGAUCAUUUCUCUGUCAAAAAACUCUACAUUUACAAUAGUAUUACUGGCCCAAGAAUUGAUGCCCCACCUUCUCUCUUGACUCUUUGGUGAAAUCAGAUUUUCCUAUUAAAGUGGAAGGGAAAAGAUAGGUAUGCGUGCGGUCGGUACCCGCAGCUGCCUGCGCCUCGUGUGGCGUCAAAGCCGGCAUUUGAAGAGGGCUGGGCACCGCACUUAGCGUUUGAAGCCAGUGGGAUUCUCGGCUUCAUCCUGGAAGGGCAGAAACGAUUUGAGCAUACAAAAUGUUACCUUAACCAACAAUUCUUCAUCAGUAAUUCUCGAGGAUUUGAGGGCUGUUUGUUAUACCACACUGCCACAUUCGAUGGCAUCUUUCUAGCGUAAGCCAAACAAACAGAUGAAGAAUCUAGAAAUGCACAUCACAUCAGACGAGUGAUCUUGAAGGUUCAGAAUGCCACAGUCGAUGCUGUUGUUCAAUCCUUGCUGUCUGAUCAAUUUUGCAGCCAAAUUCAGCUGGAAACAAUCGCAAAAGUUGUGAGAAGACUUGCCGGUGAGUUCUUCGAUGGGCUGGAAUCGAUCGGCUUUGCCAGGGACACGAAAACCAUGAACUAUUACUCGAUGCCCUUUGCAAAGAGGAGAAAGUUGAAGUGGCUUGAGGAGCAUUUUCAGCACUCAAGCCUCCCAUUGCUCCCGAGGCUUAUACUUUCAAUAUUUUCGUUCAUGUUGUUUGAAAAACCUUAUUACUCUUUACAAACUCAUUUUUAAAAACAUUUUUUUAAAAAA